CUGAAGAUUUGGUAGACAAGUAUCGUAAUGCUACUACAACCGUUGAAUAUGAAAAAGGUGACGAGAACUGGACAAUGACCGUCUCAUCAGAUGCAAUUCCAAAACCGCGGGUUUACAAGUAUAAGUUAGGAGAGGAAUGCGUUUCAAAAGACGCCCAAGGGAAAGGUAUUAAGUUUACAGCAGUUAUUAAUUCUGAUGGGAGCAUGACAGAUACUAGUAGCUUUGAAAUAAUGGGAUGGAAACCAACUACAACCACAAGAAAAGUUAACGCCAAUAAAAUGAUUGUGGAAACCAAAACUGGGGAUGCAACCAUGUCGUAUGAAAUGGACAAAGUAUAAAUUCUUCAAUUUAUCUCCUUGGUGUUGAUGUUGAAAACGUUGGAUAAUUGAAAAAUCUUCUAUAAAACUGAGAGAAAAAUAUA